ensembl:lncRNA
GGGGCUGGGGUAGGAGCCUCCCAGCCUGGAGCUGAGGAGUCAGCCCAUCAGCGCUGAGGCCAAAGGCCCCAGAAAAGGGACAAGACAGGAGUGAAAAGAGCAGAUUCAAGGACUGGUCCUCAGUGCCCGCAGGGGACAGAGACCAAGCGCUAAUAUCUGCACAGAGCAGCAAUUGAGGCCACCCUGGUCACAGGACUGCGGCCUGAGUACACCCUGACAGAGGUAGGGACUCCUGGAGCAUCCCUGCAGCUGGGGGUGGCCGGAGAGGCUGCAGGGAGGAGACCCCGGCCCUGCUGGGCCUCUGGCAACCCUCAGGCAGGAGGAACCUGCGUCUCCAGGCCCGUUGGGUGGGACGGCCCAAGGGGAGACAGGCCCCUACAGCCCCUGCCCUCCCUGAUUUGUGGGUGACAGCAUGUG